rnacentral:rRNA from 1 species
GUCUAUGGCCAUGCCACUCUCUGAAUGUGCCCGAUCUUGUCUGAUCUCGGAAGCCAAGCAGGGUCAGGCCUGGUUAGUACUUGGAUGGGAGACCACCUAAGAAUACCAGGUGCUGUAGGCA